CAGCCGCCGCGGUAACACGAAGGGGGCUAGCGUUGCUCGGAAUGACUGGGCGUAAAGGGCGCGUAGGCGGAUUGUUUAGUUAGGCGUGAAAUUCCUGGGCUUAGCCUGGGGACUGCGCUUAAUACAGGCAGUCUAGAGUGAGGAAGAGGGUUGUGGAAUUCCCAGUGUAGAGGUGAAAUUCGUAGAUAUUGGGAAGAACACCGGUGGCGAAGGCGGCAACCUGGUCCUUGACUGACGCUGAGGCGCGAAAGCGUGGGGAGCAAACAGGAUUAGAUACCCCCGUAGUCCCUGUCUCUUAUAC
rnacentral:rRNA from 1 species